rnacentral:rRNA from 1 species
GAUGAACGCUGGCGGCGUGCCUAAUACAUGCAAGUCGAGCGAACUGACGAGAAGCUUGCUUCUCUGAUGUUAGCGGCGGACGGGUGAGUAACACGUGGAUAACCUACCUAUAAGACUGGGAUAACUUCGGGAAACCGGAGCUAAUACCGGAUAAUAUUUUGAACCGCAUGGUUCAAAAGUGAAAGACGGUCUUGCUGUCACUUAUAGAUGGAUCCGCGCUGCAUUAGCUAGUUGGUAAGGUAACGGCUUACCAAGGCAACGAUGCAUAGCCGACCUGAGAGGGUGAUCGGCCACACUGGAACGGAGACACGGUCCAGACUCCUACGGGAGGCAGCAGUAGGGAAUCUUCCGCAAUGGGCGAAAGCCUGACGGAGCAACGCCGCGUGAGUGAUGAAGGUCUUCGGAUCGUAAAACUCUGUUAUUAGGGAAGAACAUAUGUGUAAGUAACUGUGCACAUCUUGACGGUACCUAAUCAGAAAGCCACGGCUAACUACGUG